GGGUCAGUAGGUUGGUCGUGCCACCGGUACGUACUGGUCUCACUGAUUCCUCCUUCCUGAAGAACCGUAAUGCCAUUAAUUUGGUGUUGCGGGGCAACAGGACUGUUACUUUGAGAAAAUUAGAGAGUUUAAAGCAAGCUAACGCUUGAAUACAUUAGCAUGGAAUAAUGAAAUAGGACGAUCGAUCCUAUUUUGUUGGUUUCUAGGAUUGACGUA
rnacentral:rRNA from 1 species